rnacentral:rRNA from 1 species
GAUGAACGCUAGCUACAGGCUUAACACAUGCAAGUCGCGGGGCAGCAUGGGGGUUGCUUGCAAUCCCCGAUGGCGACCGGCGCACGGGUGAGUAACGCGUAUCCAACCUGCCCUUCACCACGGGAUAACCCGGCGAAAGUCGGACUAAUACCGUAUGUUGUCCAUUGACGGCAUCCGAUUUGGACGAAAGGUUUGGCGGUGAAGGAUGGGGAUGCGUCCGAUUAGCUGGACGGCGGGGUGACGGCCCACCGUGGCGACGAUCGGUAGGGGUUCUGAGAGGAAGGUCCCCCACACUGGAACUGAGACACGGUCCAGACUCCUACGGGAGGCAGCAGUGAGGAAUAUGGGUCAAGGGGCGUAAGCCUGAACCAGCCAAGUAGCGUGCAGGAGGACGGCCCUAUGGGUUGUAAACUGCUUUUAUGCGGGGAUAAAGUGGCCCACGUGUGGGUUUUUGCAGGUACCGCAUGAAUAAGGACCGGCUAAUUCCGUG